GAGGAUAUAGCUCAGCUGGUAGACUGCUUGCUUAGCAUGCAUGAGGUCCUGGGUUCAAUCUCCAGUACCUCCA
rnacentral:tRNA from 1 species